rnacentral:lncRNA from 1 species
AGAGUAGGACAGGCCCUAUGCUCCGGCUGGCAAUGCCCCGCUCCUGAGCCUCCCCACCCUGUGGGGUGAGCUUUAUUCCCCUCAGCUGUGGUGAGGGCUGCACCAGGUCCUCCGAGGGGGCUGUUUGUUGCCCCUGGUAAGUGAAAGGAUUACCUUCAGUGUUGAUUGUCCUUUUUUUGUAAUCCUCCUGCCGUUCUGUUCUGUUGUGUGCUGUGCAACAUUUUGCUACAUAGACUAUUUUAUAGCAGAAAGCUAGAAAAAUAUUUAUUAUGACUACUAAAGCAAUAGUGUAUCAAUGAAUGGGCGGAGACAUUAGGAAUUGUGUAAAUGCUUAGAUUCACUUUGGGUGGAUUUUUUUGUACUUUAUUUAUAACUAAUAAAAAUGAUCUGCAUUGCUAACUAC